GCCUCUUUAGCUCAGCCGGUAGAGCAGCUCAUUCGUAAUGAGCAGGUCGCGGGUUCGAGUCCCGUGAGAGGCUCAA
rnacentral:tRNA from 1 species